AAUGAAAAUAUUUAAUACACAAAAAAGCACAACAGAAUCAACAGGUAUUAAAAGCAUUACAUAGUGCAAAUACCAAAAAGAUACAGAGCUGUUAACUUAGCGGUGCUUAUCAAGACUAGGCAAGAACACACGAAAAUGUCUCCUUUCCUUAUUAAGUGAGCUGGCCACUAUUCAAAAAGUUAUUUUAAAUUGCCUUUUUCUUCCCACCUUAUGAAACCAUAUUUGCUGCUCCCGAUCAGAUACGUUACGUUUUCUGUAUACUGACAGUACAUUUUACGCCAUCUACUCAAGUGCACGUAGAAAGAGAAUUUUUGUAUGUCAAGACCAUAGCAAGGCAGUUAUAUCUGCUGUCCAAAUUGACACAUACUUCUCUCAGAACCUAGAGACAGAACUCUUCUCUCGUCGAGGGCCUCAUACCAAGGAAAGGCUAUCUGAACUAGAGGCAUGGGUAAAAGGAAGCAACGCAGGCUCUGCUAGGCAGGCAUCAAGAGAGCUUGUGCCCAGCUUCCAGGACUUGAGGUAUUCUGAACAUAUACCCCAGAGCUUGGUCUACCAAAAGUAUAAUAACUUCUAAUAUCUUGUUCAGGGAAUUAUAGGUUUUUAACUUGCUCCCCCAUACUUAAUCCCCACAACAAACUAUGAGGUAGAAAGGGUAAAAUGUGUACUCAUUUUACAGGUGAGAAAAAUUGAGGCUUAACCCAGUCAAGACUGGGUUCAAGGUGGUGGAAUAAUCUUCCUCCUCCUCUCUAUCCAAGAGGAACUUAACAGUGCCUAGCUAUAAACUAAAGAGAGAGUCCUAUUCAGAGGCUGCUUAAGACUUCUACCUUGCCAAGUGCUGAGGAGGCCAGAAACAUUUCAUUCCCCUUUUAAAUUUUUUUAUUCCCCUUUUACAUUUUCUAUUACCUUUAAAAGGAGGAAAGAAAAAACCAAAGGAAAAUUUUGAUUCUUAUUAAAAAGCAAGUGAAAAAACGAGGCAAACGAUAGGAAAAAAGAAUAAUCCUCCUGUAGGAAGAGGGAUGGCUGCUUUCAAUUUCUUAGUGCUGAGACAACAGGGGAGCUAAUCUCCCUGUUCCUCCAUCAUACACACAAAGGAAGCCUCAACUACAAGUUGUUUGAUUAGACAGUAGCUCUGAUGUCACAGCUUCCCUUCCUUAUGCUAGAAUCCACCACCUAACUCUGCAACAGAAACAUUCCCCGGGACUGACUGGAAAAGAGAAAUCUUCUCUGAAGAUACUGUAGUUACAACCAUCCAAGAGUGAUACAGAAUACCUCUGGUAUGAAAGCAAUAUCCAGAAGUAGAUAAAACUUUGAACUCCUAGGCAAAAAGAACAACAGUAAGACAGGGAGGAAGGGGAAAUGUUUGCCACUAAAGUACUUACUGUUAAAAAAUCAACACCUUGGGAUGAGAAAUUAGACACUCUGAUAAACUCUCAGUGUUAUAAUGAUAAUGUCAAUUUUCAAUAAAGCAUUUGCCAAAUUACAGCAACUGUUCUGAGGAAAGGAAUUGCUCUGAUAGCACUAUUUGGCCCUUCUUAGGAUCCUUGACCCAUUCUACCCCAAGAAAUGAGGGAUUCAACUAGCUGUGCUCCCAGAAGACAUUAAACAAGGAUCCUGGAUGAAGGAAAACAAUCUGCAGGAGAAGCAGUAUCCUGGAUCUUAGAGAAACUACCAAGAAAUAGUAACUACCUCUUUCUGCAGAUACACUUCUUUCUCUGUAACAUUUCAGUCAUUCAAAAGGCUCUUGACAGAGGUACAGUAAGCCUAAGUGUAGGUUUAUUAUAAUAUUGCUUUAACAAUGCCACAUUCACCAAUAACGGCAUUACUUGGGAUUGCACGUUCAUUGCAUCGAAAGAUCUCAAAUGCUUAUGGGACAUCCUCCCACAGGAGAAAAGAGAUCUGGUGGCUCCAUAAAGGAAGAAUGUAGCAAUGACAAACAAGGAAAUCUCUGUCAACAGAAAGGACGUCUCAAAGCAAUCUGGAAAAACUGUCCCCAAAUUAUGUCUGGGGACACUUGAACCUCGGAUACUCCUCAUUUCCAGUUUAGCUUUAGAGUCCUCAGUAUUUCUCCUCAUACGCUAAACCGCAACUCUGCUAAUCACAAAUCUGGGAAAUUCCAGCAAAGUAACCUCGGCAUACCCUAUGGCAGUGCAAAAUUCCAGACAUUUGUAAACAUUGUACAUUUUACUUUUGGCAAACGGGAAAGUUUGCAGGUUCCUUUAUGUUUGAAGUGCAGAUUCCAAACAGAGCUAGUUCCUAAUCUGUAGCCAUUUUCAGCAAAGGCAUUAACAGUCUAUCAAGUGUGCGUGCACACGUGUACACCCAUGAAUGCGUGAACCAUCAAAAUGAAUUCUUCUUUAGGACAUGAGUUUGAACAAUUUAAGCAGAUACCUGGCUAAACGGAAAACAACAGAUUCACAGUAUCUAAAACCAUAUACUUUCAGAAUUUCACAUAACUCUCUGUGGAUAAAACCCAAAUAUCUGGUAUAGCGGAGGAAGA